rnacentral:rRNA from 1 species
UAAAGAUUCAUCGCUGAUAGAUAGGCAUGCGUUCCAUUAGGCAGUUGGCGGGGUAACGGCCCACCAAACCGACGAUGGAUAGGGGUUCUGAGAGGAAGGUCCCCCACAUUGGUACUGAGACAUGGACCAAACUCCUACGGGAGGCAGCAGUGAGGAAUAUUGGUCAAUGGGCGUAAGCCUGAACCAGCCAAGUCGCGUGAGGGAUGAAGGUUCUAUGGAUCGUAAACCUCUUUUAUAAGGGAAUAAAGUGCGGGACGUGUCCCGUUUUGUAUGUACCUUAUGAAUAAGGAUCGGCUAACUCCGUGCCAGCAGCCGCGGUAAUACGGAGGAUCCGAGCGUUAUCCGGAUUUAUUGGGUUUAAAGGGUGCGUAGGCGGCCUUUUAAGUCAGCGGUGAAAGUCUGUGGCUCAACCAUAGAAUUGCCGUUGAAACUGGGAGGCUUGAGUAUGUUUGAGGCAGGCGGAAUGCGUGGUGUAGCGGUGAAAUGCUUAGAUAUCACGCAGAACCCCGAUUGCGAAGGCAGCCUGCCAAGCCAUGACUGACGCUGAUGCACGAAAGCGUGGGGAUCAAACAGGAUUAGAUACCCUGGUAGUCCACGCAGUAAACGAUGAUCACUAGCUGUUUGCGAUACACAGUAA